rnacentral:rRNA from 1 species
GAUGAACGCUGGCGGCGUGCCUAAUACAUGCAAGUCGAGCGAACAGACGAUGAGCUUGCGCCUCUGACGUUAGCGGCGGACGGGUGAGUAACACGUGGAUAACCUACCUAUAAGACGUGGAUAACUUCGGGAAACCGGAGCUAAUACCGGAUCAUAUAUUGAACCGCAUGGUUCAAUAGUGAAUGACGGUUUUGCUGUCACUUAUAGAUGGAUCCGCGCCGCAUUAGCUAGUUGGUAAGGUAACGGCUUACCAAGGCAACGAUGCGUAGCCGAUCUGAGAGGAUGAUCAGCCACACUGGAACUGAGACACGGUCCAGACUCCUACGGGAGGCAGCAGUGGGGAAUAUUCCGCAAUGGGCGCAAGCUUGACCCAGCCACGCCGCGUGAGUGAUGAAGGCCUUCGGGUCGUAAAGCUCUGUUGUUAGGAAAGAACAACUGUGUGAGUAACUAUGCCCGUCUUGACGGUACCUAAUGAGAAAGCCCCGGCUAACUUCGUG